AAUUGGAGGGCAAGUCUGGUGCCAGCAGCCGCGGUAAUUCCAGCUCCAAUAGCGUAUAUUAAAGUUGCUGCAGUUAAAAGGCUCGUAUUUGAAUUUCGGGACCAAUAUGUCGGUCGUGCUUCGGUACGUACUGUCAUAAUUGGUUUCUCCCUUCUGAAGAACCUUGAUGUCAUUAAUUUGGUGUCUUGGGGAAUCAGGACUGUUACUUUGAAAAAAUUAGAGUGUUUAAAGCAGGCUCGCGCUUGAAUACAUUAGCAUGGAAUAAUGAAAUAGGACGUUUGAUUCUAUUUUGUUGGUUUCUAGGAUCGACGUAAUGAUUAAUAGGGAUAGUUGGGGGCAUUAGUAUUCAAUUGUCAGAGGUGAAAUUCUUGGAUUUAUUGAAGACUAACUACUGCGAAAGCAUUUGCCAAGGGAUGUUUUCAUUAAUCAAGAACGAAAGUUAGGGGAUCGAAGACGAUCAGAUACCGUCGUAGUCUUAACCAUAAACUAUGCCGACUAGGGAUCGGAUGAUGUUAAUUUUUUAAUGACUCAUUCGGCGCCUUACGGGAAACCAAAGUGU
rnacentral:rRNA from 1 species